UGCAGCAGUGAUAUUGUUCUGGUCUCAUCAGAUCUCAGAAGCUCAGCAGGGCUGGACCCCGUUAGUUCUUGGAUGGGUGACUGCUGGGAAUAUCAGAUACCAGAGCAG
rnacentral:rRNA from 1 species